GCCCCUGGAGAAACUUAAGUUACACAGACGA
rnacentral:piRNA from 1 species